rnacentral:rRNA from 1 species
UACGUAGGGGGCAAGCGUUGUCCGGAAUCAUUGGGCGUAAAGCGCGUGUAGGCGGCCCGAUAAGUCCGCUGUGAAAGUCCAGGGCUCAACCCUGGAAUGCCGGUGGAUACUGUCGGGCUCGAGUCCGGAAGAGGCGAGUGGAAUCCUGGUGUAGCGGUGAAAUGACGCAGAUAUCAGGAGGAACACCCGUGGCGAAAGCGGCUCUCUGGGACGGUACUGACGCUGAGACGCGAAAGCGUGGGGAGCAAACAGG